GUCCUAUAACGAGCGCAACCCCUACCUGUUAGUUGCCAGCAUGUAAAGAUGGGGACUCUAGCGGGACUGCCGGUGCAAACCGAGAGGAAGGUGGGGAUGACGUCAAAUCAUCACGGCCCUUACGUCCUGGGCUACACACGUGCUACAAUGGUCGGUACAGAGGGCAGCCACUGCGUGAGCAGGAGCGAAUCCUUAAAACCGAUCUCAGUUCGGAUCGGAGUCUGCCACUCGACUCCGUGAAGCUGGAAUCGCUAGUAAUCGGAUAUCAGCCAUGAUCCGGUGAAUACGUUCCCGGGCCUUGUACACACCGCCCGUCAAGCCAU
rnacentral:rRNA from 1 species